rnacentral:rRNA from 1 species
GACGAACGCUGGCGGCGUGCCUAAUACAUGCAAGUCGAGCGGAUCUUCAUUAGCUUGCUUUUGAAGAUCAGCGGCGGACGGGUGAGUAACACGUGGGCAACCUGCCUGUAAGACUGGGAUAACUUCGGGAAACCGGAGCUAAUACCGGAUAAUCCUUUCCCUCACAUGAGGGAAAGCUGAAAGACGGUUUCCGCUGUCACUUACAGAUGGGCCCGCGGCGCAUUAGCUAGGUGGUGAGGUAAUGGCUCACCAAGGCGACGAUGCGUAGCCGACCUGAGAGGGUGAUCGGCCACACUGGGACUGAGACACGGCCCAGACUCCUACGGGAGGCAGCAGUAGGGAAUCUUCCGCAAUGGACGAAAGUCUGACGGAGCAACGCCGCGUGAACGAUGAAGGCCUUCGGGUCGUAAAGUUCUGUUGUCAGGGAAGAACAAGUACCGGAGUAACUGCCGGUACCUUGACGGUACCUGACCAGAAAGCCACGGCUAACUACGUGCCAGCAGCCGCAGUAAAAC